AAGGUCAGACCGAAUAAAAGCCAUACGCAUUUAAAAUGAGACUCAGGUGCCAGAUUUAGAGUCCUGCCCAGGGAGGAGGCAGCAGAAGAGGCACUCCAACCGUGGUGAGAUCUCAGAGAAAUUCAGCACACACAAGGAGCGGCUCUCUGGAGUAGCUAAGCCAGCACCUCCUGCCUUCCUUCAGGAGCGAGAAACCCUCACCGCGGGCAGCGUGGAAAAUCCUUGGCUGGUCAUUCUUGCAAUCAACAGAGUACUCCACCUCCUAACUUCCAACCUUGGCUUAAAGAGAGUGCGAACUUCUCAUGGGGCACAUUAAAAUCUUUCCUCUCAUAUGCCUUUCAGGCUAUGUUUGUACGUAUAGAUGCAGAGCUCACCUUUGUUUGGCAUGAGUGCAAGCUGAGGGAAAGCAGCAGGAGAAUUCACUGGUAUAAAUUCAGUGCGGAGGUUCAUCCUCACCUGGGAGGCACGGCCAAGCACAGGUCGGCCCCAGCUCUUCCCCUGCCGCACUUCUGUGAGGAUGAAACACUCAAGCUGCGAACGCGCGACCACUGGAUAGACCUGGGACUCUGCGAGGGCUACAGGGAGAUGCCAGCUGGAAAGACAUCCUUGAAGCUCCUGAUGUCUCUCAGCAUGAGGUUUAGAAGCGUCAGGGCCCGUUAACUUCGGGAAAGGACACAGAGGUGCCUCAAUCGCUCUCUGUUGUGUCUUAAAAAUCCAUCUGUAAUUAGAACAAAAAAGAAACUUUGCUGAUUGACCUUCAGUGUGCCCAAGCAGGUCAAUUAUAGGGAAGCAGACGGGACCGGAUACAUUCUAGUAAUUCUCAGGUCAGCGCUACUCCAUUCCAACUGGCCUACAAGGCUGCUGAGAAAAUGUACCUUCCCACUAUUCAAUGAACGAGCAAAUUGUGCCUAUCUGCAGCUGCAUUUAAGAUCAUCGCUGCUAAAUGAUACAGUAUGUAGCACUCUUCCUUUUAACUUGCAGCCAUUUGUUUUGCUGCGAGACGGGUGGCAGAUUUAUGCCUCGCCAGUUCAGCGGCUCUGCAAGGUGUUUGGCUGGUUUUGUGCUGAAUGCUAAGUGAGCUCGAGAGUUUGAAAUAUGAAAAGUAUUUGGAUAAGGCAGAUAGGCCACCUUGAAGACAUAAUCCACGGGAAUAAUGACAGGGCCUAGCAAAGCCAAAGCAAGCAUUUAAAUUAAUAGCAAGAGAUCUAUUAAAGGGAUUAGCCACAUGUCGUAACACUUACAAUGCUUUAUCUCACUGUGGUUAUGGCAGGGACUAUAUAUAUUUCCCCAAAACAAAUGGCUAGGGGAUGAUUUAUAGAUUAGAGGGGGUGGAGAGAAAUUUUACAGACUUGAAUUUCCAAAUCUCCAAGCUUUGGCUGAGGGAUAGUUGCCUGGCCUCUCUGGGGACAUCUCCAUUACUGUUUUAGCUGGAACCGAGAUGUGCUUGUGAAGGGAUUCCUCGUGCUGUCCUCAUCAGCUGUGUUUUGGUUCAUGCCAUGAAGCCAUCCCAGAUGGCGUGAAUGGGCUUUUGUCUGGAAGAACCUAGCUGUGCUCCAGGAGCAACCCAGCGUGCCCCAGCCAUGUUUGGAGCAUGGAACAGGGCUGAGGCUGCUCCAAAGGGAACCCCCAAACUCACACAACAUAGACAUUGGGGCCUCAGCAUUCUCAGUUCCCGUUACACUGCAAAACUUUUUAACGUAGACAUAGGCAAGGAGACAAGUUUUGCCUUCAUUUUCGGAGGGGAGCUAUAAUUUUGAGGACCCUCCAUUUCUAAGGAAAAACCUUUGGGAGAGGUCAGAGGGGCUUGCUGGUUUCUGAGAGUGUAGCACAUCUGGGCAGUGCAGAAUCCUGUCUCUAAGGUUUAUCUGUUUGGGCAGUUGAAACACCAUGACUUAUUUUUGAAAAAAUAAGGCCCUCACAUUUUUUUGGUACUAAAUUAGCAGCUGGAGUGUAUAUAUGUGCAUAUAUAUCCAUAUCUACGAAUAUUAAAAUGGCAGAUUUGAGCUGUCAGAGGUUUGAGCGUUGGAUUUUGCACCUUCACCUCUUUUGAUGUAGUUGUGUCCACGGCGUCUCUAAGAUUAAAAAAAAAAAGAAAGAAAGCAGAAGAUGAUGGAAAAACAGUCAACAAGACCACAACGCUGGGACGGAGCAUGCUCUUGGAUCACCAGGUCUGCAAUACUUAAGUCAAUUCCUCCCCAAACCUGCCUCAGUGUGAAAACAGCAAGGCUGUCCUGGACUGCAGUGAGAGCAAAAGUCAUCCUGUAAUUCUUAAAGUGUCAUUAGCGCAUAGCAAAUUUUGAGGUGUUCACAGACUCCUGAACCUCCUGAUUCAUGGUGCAGUUUGAGCAGAUCCUUUCGUCAUUCCGGAUGCUUGUUAGUUAGUUUGAGGGGAAUGGAAAGAAUGGGUGAAUCAUAUUCAGUUGUUUCUUUUACAAUGGCCCUAGAAGAGGCCUCAUAAAAUAUGAAUUACACUGAAUGUGCUUGCUUCUAAAUUCAGAACAUGUGUCCAAGUGAAUUUGUAGCUCAGGAAAUGAAGGACAAGCUACCUUGGUCAGGCAGAGUUGCAGUGAAAGAACUGCCACCUCAAUGGCCGUUGGUGCACGUCGGCUCCUCCAGCCUGCCCUGUUUUUUUUACUGUCAGCUCCCUAAAUAUAACCCCGACAAGGCACCUCAGUCUUGACCUAUGACUCUCCUGUCCAGUCCAGCCUCGCAGUCUCACCACGUCCUGUUUGGGCCCUGGUCCUUAGUAUCUGCAAUAUUGCUAUUAGAUGUGCACAAGGGAAUGGGCCGAUGCCUUGUCCCUGGCAGUGCCAAGGGGUGUUUGCUGGGAUUUGGUACCUCGACUCACUCUAUAAAACUAAACUGACGCUUAUGCUGCAUGAGGAAAGAUUUUCCUGCCCUGCAAAAAUGCUUGCAAGUUCAGCAGACACCCUCUGCCGACUUCGCUGGGAUGGAAAGAGGAAUUCUCUAACAGCCUUUGCAAUACAAAAGCCGGAGAGAACAAAUUGCUUUUGAUCUGUGAAAAUAAUUCCCUUGGCAAUUUGGGGAGGUUUUGUUUCCAUCCCUGCCGUGUUAACUUUAUGUUUGUAAUAAUUAAUUUCAUGAUAAUCAGCUCAACAUUGUGAAACGCAGAAUCGUUUCAAACCACAAAUUUCUUUUAUAUUGCAAAUGUCAAUGCUGAAACUCUAACAAAGGCGGAAAUGUCCUGGAGGCAGACAGAAAGGAGAGGGGGCUUGCAUAUAGCCUUUUUUUUGCACAAAAGUUUCCGUUAUGACAAAUAUAUAUUUUCUGUAAGUCCCAGCUUCCUUCCUGUACUGAAGACUUAAUUAGCCUCCAGGUCAAUGUUUUUCUCCUCCUCCUUUAAUUUCCUUGGUUUUUAAGGCACGAUAUAAACUCCCUGGAAUCUUUUCCAGGGCUGCAGCAAUGGUCACUAGCCGAGAUCAUUUCUCUUCAGUAAGUGAAUAGCGUACCAGGGAGGGAAAUGUGCUAUCAGAGCAAUAGGGAACAUUUGCAAUAAUAAGUUGUGUGCUGUCAUAAAUUACCUGUCACGGUGUGCGAGAGAAAGAUGGGAGCAGGGUAUUUAAUUAGACGAACAUCAAGAAGUUGCAGAACAGAAUCCCCCCUCCUUCACGGGAAAACUGUACAGUUCAGGGCUGCUGUUAGUAAUUUAUAAGCUGGUACUGUCCAAGUAGAUUUGAUCCACUGAUGCUAGGGGAACUAUGUGAACUUCUUCUAAUUCUUGUACAAAAUCUGAUCCAUUUGGUUUUCCGGAGUUUAUAUCGGGACAGAGAAUUGGCUUGGGACUCCCGAGUCCUUCCUUUCCCAGCUCUGUUCCUGACACCCUCGUGUUUUCUUCUUUCUGCAGCACCGUUUCCCCACUGCUGGAAGGAGGUGGGAUACAGCACCUGACGGCCAGAGUGGGUGAGUGGUGAGGAUUGGAGCUGGGUUUUGUUCUCCCUGAGCUUGAAGACCUCGGGGCCUCGCAGUGUUCGGUUUUGCUGCUUGCCUCCGCAGCGGGCUCUCUGCAACCAGCUCCCAGUGCUCUCCAGAACAAGCAGUUGUCAUUGCUCUGCUGUGAACAAUGCGGUGUGCUGAGACACGGAGACCAGCAGCAGGGCCAAGUCCCCCGCCGCCUUCGGGUGCACGGCACUCCGCUGCGUUCACGCGCUCAGGGCACGUUUGCACCUCCGCGGCAGAGUCGUCACGUGGGUGCGUUCACCUCUAGCCUUGCACAAACUGUUCAUGUGUGAUGAGAUAACGCAGCUGUGGGUCUCACGCACAGGGAUUUCUUUUUGGCUGGAGGGUCUCUUCUGCACCCUCCCCUGCUCUGGCUGCUCUCGGCUCACUGGCGCCUGUGAUGAUUAGCCUGGUGUUUAAUUGGUGAGAGUGCCUUGGUAGUUGCUAGCUUUCAGCCUCUGCUUCUCUCAGCUACAAUCACCAAAAACAAGGAGCAUUGCAAGUAAUUUUAUGGGUAAUGAAAAGGGUCAAACACAUUUGCUCUUUGAUGAGAGAAGCUGUAGUAAAUCCUAACUGGGAGCUAGAUGGAUCGGGGUUUCUGAGCUUAGACAGAGAGAGAAAAAAUUAGGCUAGAUGAGCUGAUAGGUUGGUCUAGGAGGAUAGAUAGAUGGAUAGAUUAAAUAAAGAUCUGCUUAACCAUCCA
rnacentral:lncRNA from 1 species